ensembl:lncRNA
CAAAAUUAAGAUAAUAAAUGUUUCAAUUCAUAAUGUUAAUGUAAAAAAAAAAGUAAGUAUAAAAAGUACAUAUUUACAUAUUCACUUAACACUUUACAAUAAUGUCCCAUUAGGUAAUGUUGGUUACAAAUAUUUCAUACAGAAAAGCAAUGCAUAAACAUACAAAUGAAUGGUCAUUGGAAAAAAAAAUAUAUCACAUUUUUAAUACAAAAAACAAGUUUUGAAAAAUGGACACUUGUUUAAGGCAGACCAUUCCAAAGAGAUGGGAUGAUUUCACAUAUAUUAGUUAAUAAAGUCUUCACUUUCUUUAUCUUCUCUUAACACCAGCUUUAUUUCAGAGGGAGGUUAGAGGGGUUUCCUCCUGAGACCGGAGAGGAACAGAUUGUGGAAUUACUAUUGGGCUACAGGAGUACUGGACCUACAGGCUUCUGGCACAUGAAGAGUCACUGGAGCAUAUGUCGCCAGCACGAUUCAUUCAUUUAAAUUUAUGGAGUGGAAGUGGGCCAGGUAGCGCACCACAGUGACUGUCAACAGCACCUCCAUCUUCACAAACUUCACGUACACCGGUCCCAUCAUCCUACCAUAUGUCCCGCGAAACACAAUUUCUAAUGGACAAGGACAGCUGUAUCAGGUAAUCAAGUGGGACCUUUCACUGCAAACCAAUCAGUCUCAGUGAGCCCUAUUUGAGCAGCAUUAGCCAUCCUUCCCCUGAGCAUUACAUCAUUCUGAGGGACAACCGAGCCAAUCAACAGCCUGGCAGGAUUACACAGCAUAUGGGCAUGUCCUGACUGUGUUGGAGAACUAAACAGAGCAGCAUGAACAUUCUGCUUAACAUCUCUUAUUUCUCACUGGAAGAAGAAAGUCAUACAGGGUUGGAACAACAUGAAGCAUACAAUAAGGAGAGAGAGGCCUAACAUGACCUGUCCUGAUCCACGUCCCCAUCUAUUCACAAAGUGGUCUGUGAGCCUGCGAUGCAAAGCAAAAUGACAAUGGGAUCAGUCCGCAUUUGCAUUAUGAGCACACAAUGCAUGACACAAGCUUGCCCAGAGAGAUAUUUCUGCUCAGAAAAUAUCUGGCUUCAGAAGGAUGUGUCUGCAGUGCUCAGCAUCACUCCACUGACUCUGUCUCUUGCUUAUUAACAAACCAGCCUGUCACUUUAUAAACCCUGCUUCAGCUUUCCCUCAGACACACACACACAUACACAUCAUGAAAUACACUUAGACAAUGGCAAACUCGCAAAUUGUCCAUUUAAUUUAAGUGAAACUGUCACCGUGCACGUCAUGUCAGUCAUAUAGAGCAUGUUGAGGUAAAAACUAUUUUUAAUACAUGCAUAUUAGGGGACUUCUAUACACUAAGAUAAAUCAAAUUUAAAAUAUGACAUGAAUUUAGGCCAGCUAAUCUAUGUAUUGUGCUUUAGUUCACUUCAAAAUGUUACAGUAGGCUGUAUUAGAUAUAAUUAUCAUCAUACUUUAAAUAACAUAAUUACAAUGUUUUUAAUUAUUAGUAGGCACACUAUAUAAUUGUUGUGGUUCACAUAUUGGCUUGUUUUGAUUAAUUUUCAGCAUUAUAUCCCAAAAUGAGCUACAAAUGAGAUGAGUUUGUUUGUUUUUUUCUGCCAGUGGUGCUAUUAAGAAGAUGGGAAUGAUAACAACAAAUUUUCCUGGGUGUCUCCAAAUUCUUAGAUACCCAUAAUUAGCCAUAAAAGUGUCCCCCAUCUAGUAUGUUUAUAUUUCUCAACAUAAUGUAAUCUAGUAGUAAUAGGACAACUAAUGAACCAUAAUAUUUAAAAAUAAAAAAAUAAAAAAGAAACAGAUUAGACUGCACUGAUUAAAUAUCUUGACCCUCUUCACUUAAUCCUCAAUGUCAAAACCUGCAAUGUUUCUAACAACAGGAGCAAAGACAGCAGAAAACUACGUUUAACAUUUUAAUAUGCCUUCCAGGAUAUCUGGAAAUGUGAAUAUACAAAAAAAAAAAAAAGUAAUGACAAAACAAGAGAAUAACACCUACUCUGAAAGUUGCACACAUAACGCACAUGGAAAUGAUCUGUGCACUGAUUUGGCAAGGUUCUGUGUUUGGAUUCAGCUCCACCAUGGAUGGCUGAUGUCUGAGCAUUAUUUAUUUAUUUAUAGCAUGUGGACAAUAUUUCUUCUUCCUCUGCAGACACUGACUUCACUUUCCCAGUCUGAUAGCAUUAAAUGCCUGAAACAAACCUGAUAAAGUGGGCCUGUAUACAUUUAUAUUAAAGUAUUAAAUACUCUAUACCAGUUUACAAUAUCCACUUUAUUAGUCAAUGCAUUAAUUAUGUAUAUAGGUAAUUAGUGUCAAGAAAUGAAACAUUAUUGUAAAGUGUACAUACAUUCGGCUUUUAUUUCUUAAAUGCAUUCACUAGUCUUUGUGUGUAUUAUGUAAGCCACUCCCCUUGGAGUCUAUAGACAUUGAUAGGUCCAGAUUCUAAUGUUUAAAGGAUCUCCAGGGCCUGCGGGAGCCGAUGUAGGGCUCUUAUACAACCCCUCCAGUCUGCAGGGAGAACAAGGCAUUAGCCUUACAGCUGCUAAUGGAAUCACUUCCACCUGAAGUGAUGGACACAGUCCGGUUGGUUUCCGCUGGGAAAAGAACUGCAGCUGGGCCGAUGAAAGAAACGUUACGGCUUGUAACAAAUCCGCACAUAACGGUCUUCUCAUUCCCUCCCCUGGAGUCUUGUCACCGGCCCUGUUCAUCUAGUAAAUAACAAAGCUACUCCUGGUUAUGUCAUUAAUUAUUCCAGGAAAUAAAGGCUUGGGGCUUUAGGUAUAAACUCUGAUGAAAACCGCAGCCAGAUGAGUGAAGUCAUACAACUGCCUAAGCUCAAAUUAAAUUUGUAUUAUGACAAUGAUGAGGUAAUGCCACCUAGUUUAAUCAAGAUGCACUCGGACCAAAAUAAAAGGGGGGAAUGAUAGAGGGAUCAUCUGGACAUUGUCUGACUGACAACAGUGCCCCAACCAUCACCCUUGACCUCAGGGGUUCAUUAGUUCAGACCAGGUGGAGAAAGAAGGGAGGGGAGAUGUAUGGUUAUGGUGCAGGAAAGAGGAGGGAUUGAAUGGCCCGCGGUGGUCCAAUGUCAGACUGGGUGAUGGAUAACAGAUCCAAGCUGCUGCUCUCUGCUCUACUGCAGUCCUGUUAUCAGGACUUUUUAGAUGAAAAGAGACUUCUUGUGUUGAAUUUGGCACAGUGAUUCACCCUCAGGUCCUCUGCUUCUUUGCAUCAGUUGAAAAGUUUCACAAUUAAUGUAUGUGUGAUCAAAAAUCAGUUCCUAUUUCUCUAAUGACCAUAGCAUAAAGAGGUCACAUGGCUUUACGCUCUUUCCAGUAAUUCAAUUAGUGUCAAAGGGGUUCACUGGACUGUGCCGAGAAUGGCCCUGUGCACACAACCCCAGAGGUUAAAGUAGGAGCAGAGAAGACAGCUAGAUGGAUCAGUGCCUCCGGUUAGCUCAAGCAUGAAGAUUUAAUCAAGAUUUUAAAAAAGAUGAAUUGACUCCAUGUAAUGAAAUUGUAAUGGGCAUGGUGGGCCUAACAAAACAAAGGGGUCAGCAGGUAUAUGACAUGGAUGUUCUGCAUCUCCAGUGCUUAUCUAACCCUCUUCCAUCUUCUUUGAGAAAAUAUAUCAGAGUCAGGAGAACUGAAGAAUCCAGCCAGUGCUGAAUAGAUGUAUGAAUGUUUGAAAUCAUUUGAGAAAUACACAAGCCAGGGAUUUGUACAAUCAGCUGGUCAUUAUGUAUUGUAUAAAAGCACUAUAGAAAUAAAGAUAACUUGACUUGAUUUUAUAAAUUAAUUUUCUGUCCUAUAAAAUGCAUUCAUGGGCAGAAAAGGUCAGAUUUCAGAAGGAUCAGAAAGACUUGUAAUGUUUUUUAAAGAAGGCUCUCAUGCUCAUCAAGGCUGCAUUUAUUUGAUCAAAAAUACAGAAAAAAAGUAAUCUUGCUAAAUAUUAUUACAGUAUAAAAUAAUGGUUUCUAUUUUAAUAUCCUUUAAAAUAUCAUUUAUUUCUGUGAUGCAAAGCUGAAUUUCAGACGUCAGUGAUCUUUCACAUUUGCUGUUUUCUGUAAUAUAGGGCCUGUGGUUUUCAUAGAUUCAUCACACUCAAUUUAACAUUUCCUUCAGAAGAUACCACUCAAAUGCAGGCAGGAAAAUAAGCUGACAGAUUAAAGUGAUCCUUCAUAGCAGAAACAUUAAGAAAGAAGAGAAUUUAUCUCCAAGCCACAUUGGAGCCAAAGAAGAAAAAUGCAGCUGCCUAAGAAAAUGAUAUAUGACUUGGACUAAUGAACAAAAUCCCAUAUAUGUCUUCUCAUUACAUAAAACAUGGCAGCUUUCAGUGUUGUAUUCCUUUAUACAGAAGCAAAUCCACUGAUUUGCAAUACAUGAACACAGAAACCCACCACAGGAACCAGGUCGAUAUGUGACUGUUUUCCUUAGUCAGACAGAUUGCAGUAUCUGAAUAAGAGGCACAAAACUAUCACCUUCAACAACGCACACCAUCCAUUUGGAAUUCCGAACUGCAAUUAUUCCCUUCCUGGUGCAAGGAAGUUGCCAUAGUUACUUGGCCCCAGGCUACAUUGAGUGAAAAGGUAAACACCAAACCACAAGGCAAUAUCUGACCUGCUGUGCUUUCUAACAUUUUUCACCAAGAAAGCUGCACGCUUGAUAUUUUCUCUCUCCGAACAGCUAAUUUCUU